CUCAUUUGUUUUCUCCUACAUAGCUCUGAUAGAAGAGAAACGAAUUGGAAUUGGGCAUCUCGUUAACCAUUUGCUUUCCCCCUUGCUGCUCGGGGAAGGACAUGGUGAGCCGGAGCAGAACCUCAGGGGCACAGAGGGAGCAAUCACACUGAAAUAGAGCCUCAUGGUGCAGGACUUCUCACGGAAGGAAGGAGGGGCUGACACCACUGGCCUGCAGCAGCAGGGGACAUGGCAAGAGGCAGAGAAAGCAGCUCCAUGAGGCUGGAGGGGGAUUGGUACCCACCGCCCCAGAGCCCAGGCGCGGAUCUCCGGAUGUCUGCGAGAUCAUAAAUCAUGUUCCGAGCCCGGCGCAGCCUCCUGCUCUCUGCUCCAUCGAUCCACUGCCGCCGCGCACCCCGCAGGAGGAUGCAGGAUGCUGCGGCGCCGGCCCGGCCCGGAGCAGGAGCUGCUCCUGGAUGCCCUCGGGGUGUUCCACUUUGCGAGGCAAUAGUUUGUUGGUUUAGGAAAGACAUUCGCUGGGUUUGCCGCGUUGUUUGUUCUGUCGCUGGCUUUGGAAACGCUCCAAGGGUGUUGGCUAAGCAGAAGCUAAUUAAUUGCUGGUGCUUGGCUUUGCCCAGCACAGGCUGGGGUAGGAGCCUCUCCUCCCCGUCCUGCCCCGUUCCCUGCUGGGGCUGCAGCUGCUUCUGCCUCACAGCUCACUCCCAUUCUUCACCGCCACAACCUGAGCCCCCAUGUUUGUGCUCAGCCUGGUCUCCAGGCAGGACUGAAAAGCCCGAUUUAACAAGAAAAAGCUGUUCCAAAUAUAAUUCCUUCAUACAUGCAUGGCUAUGGUGUGCAUCCCUUGUGGGAAUUUUGCUAAAGCAGCCUCUUUCUGCUCUCUCCAGAUGAGCAGAGCUCGGAUCUGUUCUUCUCACACCUUCCUGCCUGAGGUUAUGCGUAUGGAGGACAGCUGGGAGCAGUCCCCAUCACCAGCCCUGUGCCCGCAUUCUGCUUCAGGAGCAGCAGGAGGAGCCCUCCUGGUAUGGAGGUGCUUGGACCAGGCUUUCCCACCAGCCCCAGCAGGGUCCCACCUUCAUAAACCUAGAUGGGGGGGGGGGCUGUUGUCUGGGACCCCCUUUGCUCCUGGAGCCUAUUCUGUAUCCAACCCGCUCACUGUUUGUCCUUGGACCUUGCUCAAGAGGCUGCGCGCUCCCUCGGAUGCACCCGGAAGGGAUGUUGGGAGAAGAACGGGAAUAAUCACCACGGAGCCAAGGUAAAAACACAAUAAUCAAAGACCAGUCCUAAAAACUCUGCUUUAAUCUUUGUGCUUCCAGACCCAGCCUCCCUUUCAUCUAGGACUCUGCUGUUCUCUUGUUACUCCGCGCUCAGAGAAACCACAGGGCUGGAAGAGGGGAAGAAAAAAGACGAGAUUAAACUAAUGAGCAGGUAA